GGGGAAUAUUGCACAAUGGGCGAAAGCCUGAUGCAGCGACGCCGCGUGAGGGAUGACGGCCUUCGGGUUGUAAACCUCUUUCAGCAGGGAAGAAGCGAAAGUGACGGUACCUGCAGAAGAAGCGCCGGCUAACUACGUGCCAGCAGCCGCGGUACUACGUAGGGCGCAAGCGUUGUCCGGAAUUAUUGGGCGUAAAGAGCUCGUAGGCGGUUAGUCGCGUCUGCUGUGAAAACUCGAGGCUCAACCUCGGGCUUGCAGGGGGUACGGGCUGACUAGAGGGCGGUAGGGGGGACUGGAAUUUCUGGUGUAGCGGUUGAAAGGGCAGAUAUCAGGAGGAACACCGAUGGGGAAGGCAGGUCACUGGGCCGCAACGUAAGCUUAGGAGCGAAAACAUGGGGGGCGAACA
rnacentral:rRNA from 1 species